ACCAUGAGCUUCCCGUGUGAGGUUCUGCUGGGCUUCACCUCCCGUGGCUGACACCCUCUCCCCACUCUGCAGCCCCCCAAGAGGAGACCCAGGGAGCUGCGGAGGAGCUGGAGCGCGCAUCACUUUCCCGGGUGCUGCUGCAGGCUCUGGGGGUGCUGGAGCACCACGGACCCGGGGAAGCAAGCAAAGGGCUCCCAGCUACUGGACAAGAUGCGGGAACUGACAUUCCUAGCACCAGGGGAAACUCGAGCAAGGCUUUCCCUGGACAAGAUCCUAGCGCCAUACUGAACCAUCUCUUGGCAAGAAACAGGAAGCAGCACCAGCAGCAAGGGGCUG